GAUGAACGCUAGCGACAGGCUUAAUACAUGCAAGUCGAGGGGCAGCAUGAUUGUAGCAAUACAAUUGAUGGCGACCGGCAAACGGGUGCGGAACACGUACACAACCUUCCAACAAGUGGGGGAUAGCCCAGAGAAAUUUGGAUUAAUACCCCGUAACAUAGCGAUGUGGCAUCACAUUGCUAUUAUGGAUUUUUCGCUUGUUGAUGGUGUGCGGCUGAUUAGAUAGUUGGCGGGGUAACGGCCCACCAAGUCUACGAUCAGUAGCUGAUGUGAGAGCAUGAUCAGCCACACGGGCACUGAGACACGGGCCCGACUCCUACGGGAGGCAGCAGUAAGGAAUAUUGGACAAUGGACGCAAGUCUGAUCCAGCCAUGCCGCGUGAAGGAUUAAGGUCCUCUGGAUUGUAAACUUCUUUUAUAAGGGACGAAAAAAGGCUUUUCUAAGUCGUCUGACGGUACCUUAUGAAUAAGCACCGGCUAACUACGUGCCAGCCGCCGCAGUAAGAC
rnacentral:rRNA from 1 species